CGUACUCUCAAGAGAAAACAAUACCCACUUCAGUUUUAAAAAUCUUACCUUUCACAUUGCUGUUUGCAAGAAUGCUUCCAAAUUCCAUGGAUUUUGGUUUUGAGGAAAGGGGUGUUGAAUGGCCUGCUGGCUGGGAUACUGGAAAGAUCGGUUUUGAUACGACUUGCCUUCUCGGACUUAAAGCGGAUACACAACACGCCGGAGAUAAAACUGUAAUAAUCUCGAAUUGCACUGUGUCAAUCUGGCACCAAUGACACCAACAGUCUGUCUUCACACCGCAGUUACUGCACGCAGAUCACGGCUUGAAUGCAAUAUGAAUACUAAUAUCUGCUCUGCACACGGAUGUGGUGUUGGCGAAUCCAUUGGAAACAGCUUUCUUCAUCCCUCUUAACGAUGAUCACUUCUAAGUACGUUUUAAAUAUACCAAUUCGCA